rnacentral:rRNA from 1 species
AUGAAAAAAUGUGGGAUCCGCAAAUACCGUAUUAUGGAUAUUUUGUGCUUUCAAUACGGUGGAUUUGAUAAGGUUGGAUGCAUAAAGAGGGACAUUUAUAAUUUCUGCCAUGCUAAUAAGCAGGAGACAAUCAGUGCCGGUGAUGCUAAUACAGUGAUCAUGCACAUGAUGGCGAGGCGAGAGCGAGAUGUGGAUUUUUUCUUCAAGUACUUGGUAGACGAGCAUGGCCAUCUGAAGGGACUGUUCUGGGCUGAUAGUCAAUCACGGCUUGACUAUGAGGCUUUCGGAGACGUCAUUGUUUUCGAUAGCACAUACAGAACCAACAAAUACAAUCUGCCAUUCGUGCCGUUUGUCGGGUUGAAUCACCACCGCAACACUGUUAUUUUUGGCUGUGGUAUAAUUUCUCAUGAAACAAGCCAGGCAUACGAGUGGAUGUUGCGGGCCUUUUCUGAUUGCAUAGCACAGAAGCAUCCGAUAUCUGUGAUCACAGAUGGGGACCUUGCAAUGCAGAGAGCAAUAAGGGUGGUCUGGCCAGACUCAAACCAUAGACUAUGUAUAUGGCACAUUCAGCAGAACAUUGUACGCCAUCUGCAUGAUGACGACAUAAAGGAGGAAUUCAGAUCUUUCAUUUAUGAUACUUCUUCCAUUGAAGAGCAUGAGAUAAAAUGGAUACAAUUCUUACAACGGAAUAAAGUAACCAGUGAGGAGUCUUGGCUGUAUCAGAUGUAUCAGAUGAGAAAGUUGUGGUGUGCUCAAUAUCUUGAGGGGCGUUGUUUCCUAGGAUUGAGCAGCAAUUAG